rnacentral:rRNA from 1 species
CCCUUAUAUGUCCUGGGCUGCACGCGCGCUACACUGAUGUGUCCAGUAAGCACCUAACCUCUUCCGAAAGGAACGGGUAACCUUUGCAAAGCACAUCGUGAUGGGGAUAGAUUAUUGCAAUUAUUAGUCUUGAACGAGGAAUUCCUAGUAAGCACAAGUCAUCAGCUUGUGUUGAUUACGUCCCUGCCCUUUGUACACACCGCCCGUCGCUCCUACCGAUUGAAUGUUCCGGUGAGCUCUUCGGACUGCGCGGUCUGCAGUUUCUGCGUUCCGUGCGGAAAGUUGCGCAAACCUUAACAUUUAGAGGAAGGAGAAGUCGUAACA